rnacentral:rRNA from 1 species
AGUGAACGCUGGCGGUAGGCCUAACACAUGCAAGUCGAACGGCAGUACAGUAAGAGCUUGCUCUUACGGGUGGCGAGUGGCGGACGGGUGAGGAAUACACCGGAAUCUACUUUUUCGUGGGGGAUAACGUAGGUAAACUUACGCUAAUACCGCAUACCACCUACGGGUGUAAGCCGGGGAUCUUCGUACCUUUGGCGAAUUACUUCGCCGCUUUCUGGUUCGCCAGUUGGCGGGGUAAAGGCCCACCAAGGCGACGAUCCGUAGCUGGUCAGAGAGGAUGAUCGGCCACACUGGAACUGAGACACGGUCCAGACUCCUACGGGAGGCAGCAGUGGGGAAUAUUGGACAAUGGGCGCAAGCCUGAUCCAGCCAUACCGCGUGGGUGAAGAAGGCCUUCGGGUUGUAAAGCCCUUUUGUUGGGAAAGAAAAGCAGCAGGUUAAUACCCCGCUGUUCUGACGGUACCCAAAGAAUAAGCACCGGCUAACUUCGUG